CUACGGGCGGCAGCAGUAGGGAAUAUUGCUUAAUGGGCGAAAGCCUGAAGCAGCAACGCCGCGUGUACGAUGAAGGCCUUCGGGUUGUAAAGUACUUUUUGCAGGGAUGAGGAAGGACAGUACCUGCAGAAUAAGCCUCAGCUAACUACGUGCCAGCAGCCGCGGUAAAACGUAGGAGGCGAGCGUUAUCCGGAUUUACUGGGCGGAAAGCGGGUGUAGGCGGAUUGGUAAGUUAGCUGUGAAAGCUCCCGGCUUAACUGGGAGAGGUCGGUUAAUACUGUCAGUCUAGAGUAUGUGAGGAGGGAAGUGGAAUUCCGGGUGUAGUGGUGAAAUGCGUAGAUAUCCGGAGGAACACCAGAGGCGAAAGCGGCUUCCUGGCACAUAACUGACGCUCAGACGCGAAAGCUAGGGGAGCGAACGGGAUUAGAUACCCCCGUAGUC
rnacentral:rRNA from 1 species